AUUUUUUUUUGUUCUUACAGGGAGAGAGAACCUACGAUUCAAAGAAAUGUUGCUACACAUGUAAGAGUGACUGUAGAACUUCUCCUGUGAAUGUGACCGUUAGGUAUAACGGUUGUAGGAAGAAAGUUGAGAUGGCAAGAUGUAUAGGAGAAUGCAAAAGGACUCUCAAGUACAAUUAUGAGACCUUCCAAUUGGAGAAUUCGUGUGUUUGCUGCCGUGAAGAAAACUAUGAGUACAGGGACAUUACACUUGAUUGCUCUGAUGGCAGCACCAUCCCAUACAGAUACAGGCACACUACAACCUGCUCAUGUCUGAACCAAUGUGAACAGUCUGCAGCCAGUUAAUACCUACCCACAUUUCCUUCCCAGUUGCACCUAUUUUAGAA